rnacentral:rRNA from 1 species
CAGUCGCCACGGUAAUACGGAGGGUGCAAGCGUUAUCCGGAUUCACUGGGUUUAAAGGGUGCGUAGGCGGAUCUGUAAGUCAGUGGUAAAAUCUCCAGGCUUAACCUGGAAACUGCCGUUGAUACUAUAGGUCUUGAAUUUUGUGGAGGUUAGCGGAAUAUGUCAUGUAGCGGUGAAAUGCAUAGAUAUGACAUAGAACACCAAUUGCGAAGGCAGCUGGCUACACAACUAUUGACGCUGAGGCACGAAAGCGUGGGGAUCAAACAGGAUUAGAUACCCGCGUAGUCCCUGUCUCUUAUAC